GGGUGUGAGGGCAAUCUGGCUGUGACAUCUGUCACCCCGUUGAUCGGCAGGGUUGAUCCAGCUGAUCUGGCUGGCUGGGUGGGCAUCCCUUUUCUCCUUCACCUCUCCACGGUAUCCCUCCCGAAUCAAAGAGGAUGACCAACCCCAACAGACUAGGACCGUUUCCUUGGUCAAGGGUAUAGAAGUAGCUGCGAUCCCCUGCUAGGACCUCCAAACAAGGUCUCAAGGUCCAUUUGGAGAAAAAUGGAUCAACCAAAGAUCAUCAUGUUAGGAUAAAUACCACAUUUUCUCCCAUUUGU
rnacentral:snRNA from 1 species